UUGGAGGGCAAGUCUGGUGCCAGCAGCCGCGGUAAUUCCAGCUCCAAUAGCGUAUAUUAAAGUUGUUGCAGUUAAAAAGCUCGUAGUUGAAUUUCGGGAUCAGCAGGUUGGUCGUGCCACCGGUAUGCACUGGCCUUGCUGGUUCCUCCUUCUUGAAGAACCGUGAUGCCAUUAAUUUGGUGUUGCGGGGAAACAGGACUGUUACUUUGAAAAAAUUAGAGUGUUUAAAGCAGGCUAACGCUUGAAUACAUUAGCAUGGAAUAAUGAAAUAGGACGUUCGAUCCUAUUUUGUUGGUUUCUAGGAUUGACGUAAUGAUUAAUAGGGAUAGUUGGGGGCAUUAGUAUUCAAUUGUCAGAGGUGAAAUUCUUGGAUUUAUUGAAGACUAACUACUGCGAAAGCAUUUGCCAAGGAUGUUUUCAUUAAUCAAGAACGAAAGUUAGGGGAUCGAAGACGAUCAGAUACCGUCGUAGUCUUAACCAUAAACUAUGCCGACUAGGGAUCGGACGAUGUUAAUUUUUUAAUGACUCGUUCGGCGCCUUACGGGAAAC
rnacentral:rRNA from 1 species